UUGCCCUCUCAGUCUCGCUCUGAAAGAGUUCUCUGCUCCCCACUUAAACCCUUUGGCAUGCUAUUGUGUAGCAUUGUGUAUUUCCAUGUGGGGUGCUUCUCCUUGAAAGAAAUUAAAAUGAUGGGGAGGCUGACUUGUCACACUAAAUAACAUCACAUGCUUUUCUUUGGAGAAGGAUAAAAAAAAAAAGGAAGAAAUACUCAAAGUUCCAAGAAAAUAACUGCUGAGGAAAUGAGUGCAGUAGCUUAGGUCCCGUCCCUGGAAAGUAACAGCUAUGCCAGCACAGGGAAACACGUUCCAUCCCUGCAGGGCUUGUAGGUAGGCUUGAAUUUCUGCAUGUUGUUUGCUGGUGACCUACAGACUUGACUGUCCAUCACUGAUCUCUCCAGCUAUCCACAAUGAAUUUCUAGUCCAAAUGUUGUUGGUUUUUUCCUAAAAUAUGAGUUGUAUUUAAAAAUAUUGGAACUGUUCACAAUCAUUUCUGCUCCUGCUUACUAAUAUCUAUUUUUUUCCCUCCAAAUUCACUGUCUACCUUUCUUCUGGGAAAUAAGUGACCCUGAAAGCACCUCAUCACUCUCUGCUCCCUCAUCGUUACCCUUCAUAGCCAGAGAGCACCACUGGUUUGGGUCCUCUUGGUCCCUUGGCAUUUUCCUCAGCACUCGCAAGAGUAUUGCCCUUUUGACAACCUGCAGGUUCCCCAUCUCUUUAAUUUAGAGUAAACCUUUGUCUAGAAACACAGAGAAAAACACCUGGGACCAUAUUUCCUUUGAGGUUUACCCGAGUGGAAAAAUCCCAUGAAAGGAGAAGAUAACAGCUCUGUGGAGGAAUCACCCAUCAAGAAGAAGAGAAAAGCACUCUGAUUUCAAUUAGACAGAAUUUCUCAGUGGCCUCGCUGUUCUCCUUCUCACCUCAGAUCUGCUGCAACCAGGAACUUAGAGAAGAAGAUAGCUCCCCUCUCCCUUGAAGUGUUCAUGACAGAGAAAGCAAGCCAAGAGGUCAACGGCUGAAGAAGAGGUCUUCUACAGAGACUGGAACCAUAUGGCUGCCGCAGUAAAUGCCCAAGAGAACAGCAGAAGAAACUAAUGAAACGGAGCAGGAGUGAAGGGAAUAAUGGGCGAUGAGAAAGCAAUGCUGACCAUCCCCCAUCGCAGAGCUACAGUAUUCUUCAGGGCUGUGAAGUUGUAUGCGUCUGCGGGAGGGAGUGAUGUUGAAUACAGGAAACCUGAAGCCAGGAUAUAUUUUACAGCAAGGCAAUUAUAAUGCAAGAUUAUAAGAAAUGUUUGUGCUUUAAAAUGUUUUAUCUUAUGUUUGAAGUAUAGUGUUUCUGGCAGGGAAAAAAUAUAUAAGGGCAUUAAAUGGCUUUCUUUGCAGGCAAUUAAACAAUGAAGUCAGUCUGAGGCAUUUAAAUAAUUGUAACAGAUGUUUAUUGCCUAGUGCAGUUUACUGCAUCCUAUUAUUCCCUUUACAUACAAGAGAGAAGAACACAUGGCAAACUGUACCGUAAAAGAAAUUCUUUACUGCCUUGUGAGCAAUGUGGUUGCUUCUUUGACUUCUUAAUUGAAUCACCUUGGGAAUGAGUCAGUAAUAAAUAGUAUUUGGAGAGCAGACAAGUGACUAACUGCCCAAAGGAGCAGCAGCAACUGGUGUGCAAUGACGUGGGUCUGGCGGUAAAUAUCUUUGAGCAAACAAACUACAGUGGAAUUGCUCUGAGAGUGAUGCUUGGCUCACUCAUCAAGAAUUUUGUUGCCUCCUGAGGUGGUGUGUUUCUGGAGACUCUCCUUUCCUGCAAUCCCUUUUGUGUGCUCCGUUGAGAGAGGAAAAAUAACCUGGGUCCUUGGGUAGGCUUUGGACAAGAUGUCUGUAAUCCCGAUUUACUACAGAUUCAUUGUGUGGCUUUAUUUCUCACAUCUCAUCUCAGAGUUUCCCAGUCUGCUCGGGGUGUUGCAUACAACGCAAGAGUGGACUUUCUGCAUCAGGCUGAAGGUGCAAGGAACCCCACCUCCAGCGAAAAUCUCUGGCAGUGGCUUUAGGUGGAUGACUAAGCAACUGUGAAGGACAAGUAUAUGUGGUAUUUUCCCCAAAUACUCUCCAGUCAUUUUUUGAUGUAGGG